UCCUUCCUCUCAGCCGCGCUGGGGAGUUCGAGGCGCGCGGCCCCUGCACUCCGGCCCGAGAUGAAUGCUGCGGCAGAAGUCGAGUUCAACAUCCUCCUGGCCACGGACUCCUACAAGGUUACUCACUACAAACAAUACCCACCCAACACAAGCAAAGUUUAUUCCUACUUUGAAUGCCGUGACAAGAAGACAGAAAAUUCCAAACUUAGGAGAGUGAAAUACGAGGAAACAGUAAUUUAUGGGUUGCAGUACAUUCUUAAUAAGUAUUUAAAAGGUAAAGUAGUGACCAAAGAGAAAAUCCAGGAAGCCAAAGAGGUCUAUAAAGAACAUUUCCAAGAUGAUGUCUUUAAUGAAAAGGGAUGGAACUACAUUCUUGAGAAAUAUGACGGACAUCUUCCAAUAGAAAUAAAAGCUGUUCCUGAGGGCUCUGUCAUUCCCAGAGGAAAUGUUCUUUUCACAGUGGAAAAUACAGAUCCAGAGUGUUACUGGCUUACAAAUUGGAUAGAGACUAUUCUUGUUCAGUCCUGGUAUCCAAUCACAGUGGCCACUAAUUCUAGAGAGCAGAAGAAAAUAUUGGCCAAAUAUUUGUUAGAAACUUCUGAUAACUUAAAUGGACUGGAAUACAAGUUACAUGAUUUCGGCUACAGAGGAGUCUCUUCCCAAAAGACUGCUGGCAUAGGAGCAUCUGCUCAUUUGGUUAACUUCAAAGGAACAGAUAUAGUAGCAGGAAUUGCUCUAUUUAAAAAAUAUUAUAGAACGAAAGAUCCUGUUCCAGGCUACUCUAUUCCAGCAGCAGAACACAGAUAACAUGAGAAGAAAGGACUGCACCAUCCCAGCAAGUAUUAUGGAGUACUAACCAUGUACUCAGAACAGCAUGAGCACCAUAGCCUGGGGAAAAAAGACAAUAAAUCGAGCUCUUGAACGGUUACUCAAGGAUUAUCCACCUUUAGAAUCUCCUCAUUUUCAAGAACCACUUUCUCUGCUCAUCCGGCAUAGCAAACGUUUAGGGUUGGGGGUGCAUGUUGGAGCAUCGUUAGAAAUGACAGGAUUGAGAUUGGUAUGAAAAUCCAUACUGAGGACAUUUGGCUUUUAAGCAAUGGAAGAACCAUGGAUAGUUUUGAGCAGGAGACUGAUAAAGAAUCAAAGGUUCAAGCCAACUAUGACCUCCAAGAUCAUCCAAACUAGCACUGGCAAACACAUGGUGUCAUCACAGCCACACACAAAGCCAAUGUUCCUCUUCCUGCUAAGCUCACAUGGAUCCUCAGAAUCCUUCUCCACCCAGCACUAUGGGAAGUGGCUAUUGGUCAAAUUGACUUGAGAAAUGGAACUUAAAUCUGGAACAACCCUUUAAUUUUACAAAUGUGAAGACUGAGUACUAGAGAGGCUAAAUAAACUCUAUGAGA